rnacentral:tRNA from 2 species
GGGGCAGUAGCUCAGCUGGGAGAGCGCCUGAUUUGCAUUCAGGAGGUCGGGAGUUCGAUCCUCCUCUGCUCCA